UACGUAGGGGGCAAGCGUUGUCCGGAAUCAUUGGGCGUAAAGAGCGUGUAGGCGGCCAGAUAAGUCCGCUGUGAAAUCUCGAGGCUCAACUUCGAGCUGUCGGUGGAAACUGUCUGGCUAGAGUCCGGAAGAGGAGAAUGGAAUUCCUGGUGUAGCGGUGAAAUGCGCAGAUAUCAGGAGGAACACCGGUGGCGAAGGCGGGUCUCUGGGCCUGUACUGACGCUGAGGAGCGAAAGCGUGGGGAGCGAACAGG
rnacentral:rRNA from 1 species